rnacentral:rRNA from 1 species
AGGACGAACGCUGGCGGCGUGCUUAACACAUGCAAGUCGAACGGUGAAGGAGAGCUUGCUCUCCGGAUCAGUGGCGAACGGGUGAGUAACACGUGAGUAACCUGCCCUUGACUCUGGGAUAAGCGUUGGAAACGACGUCUAAUACCGGAUACGAGCUUCAGCCGCAUGGCUAGGAGCUGGAAAGAAUUUCGGUCAAGGAUGGACUCGCGGCCUAUCAGCUAGUUGGUGAGGUAAUGGCUCACCAAGGCGACGACGGGUAGCCGGCCUGAGAGGGUGACCGGCCACACUGGGACUGAGACACGGCCCAGACUCCUACGGGAGGCAGCAGUGGGAAUAUUGCACAAUGGGCGCAAGCCUGAUGCAGCAACGCCGCGUGGGGACGAAGGCCUUCGGUGUAACUCGUUUAGUAGGAGAAGCGAAAGUGACGUACUGCAAGAAAAGCACCGGCUAACUACGUCGCCAGCAGCCGC